GGGCCGGCGGCGGCGACGGGGCUCCCGGGGCUGGCGGCGGCCGCCGCCAUUGCGGGCCGGCUCCCCCCGCUGCGCUGCCGGGCUCGCCCUGCCCCUCACCGCAGCGCGCUGGCGGCGGGGUGCAUGGGCGCCGCGGUGCCGCCGGGGCGCGGCGGGCCGCCGCCGUGCGCCCCCCGCCCGGCCGUAGCGCCCUGCCGCCGUGCCCCGCGCCGCCCGGAUUUAUAGGUGCCCCGCGCCGCGCUGCGCCCUGUGCAAUAACACGGCAAUCACGUGUGGAAACAGCGAGCGGGGAGGAAAACAAAAGCCCGGCCAGCCGCCCGGAGGAGGAGGAGGAGGGUGGGUCUCGGCCAGCUCCCUCCUUUCAACCCUUUCCCCCCCCUUCCCCCUUUCCCUCCUCCCUUCCCUCCUCCUCCUCCUCUCCUUUUUUUCCCUUCCUGUAUGCGUGGGGGCGGGCGGCAGCCGGGGAAGGUGGAGUCUGUGCCUGGAGCGCGCGGCACAUGGCCCCGGGCGGCCGCCGCCGGCGGGGCGCGAUCGCCCCUGCCCGCCACCGGGGCGUCGGGGCGGCCCCGGCCGGCCCCCUGCGGCCGCCGGCCCGUGGGGGGCAGCCCGCGGGGAGGCGGCUCCUGCGCUUGCCGCGGCUUGCACGGGCCGUCCCUCGCGGAAUAAGGAGCCAGCCUGCGUGUUCGUGACAUUUCGCAAGUUCCCCAAAGCGCUGAAGCACCCCCAGCCCCUCCGGGGAAAGCACGUUUAUUUCAUGCCCCUGCGCAGGUUUUCCAAGCCCCAGGACGUGUGUUUUCCCCGCGGAUCCGCACCUGCAGCUGCCCCCGAGGAGCCCGUCCGGCCGCAGUGCAGCGCCGGGCUCCCUCCCGGACUCGCUUCGUUGCCACCGGCUCAGCCUUGCUACAGCUGCUUUUGUCCUGUGGCGAUAAUUUCAUCAGCAGCUUAUGUAAGGACAGGAUAACGUAUGCACACCAGCACCACAGCGUGUGGUUGUCGGAAGAUAGUGGCAUGCCUUCAUAAAGCAUUGCAAUGGCUUGUAUUAUUUUGCUGGGGUUUUUUUAUUGUUUUGUAUCUCACUGUUAUGUACUGCUGGAGAUCAACAGCUUUUCCAAACCGUUACAAAUUUUGUAAUGUUUAUGCAUCCCAGUCAAACACUCCUGUUUUCCAAUUUUAUCAAAAUUUGCUCAUUUGAUAAGCAAAAUAGCCUGUGUGGUCAGAGAGGGAAACCGAAUCCCAUCGCUGGAGGAAGCUGGGUUUGCAUUCCUCGCAAAACUGAGCUUUCAAGCAUACAAUAACUUCAGAAUCAGGCUCUGUGACUAUUUGUGGAUUAUUUGUGAAAGUUUGGCUUUUGCUGACACUGAGCGCUACAAACCUUUAACUUUAAGGAGCCUGGUCCGGGGGUGGAAGGCUCUCAGCAGCCCCGAGGUAGGUAACUCAGCUCAUGUAAUGAAGACACUGAGCGGCCGGCUGGCCAAGCAGGAAGUGCUGAGCAAGUGAACGGGAAAUGAUGUGAAAAAGGACGGUUUUUCAAAUCUCAAAUGCUGUUUUAAGGUGAGGAUUCUCAUUUCAACCUGCUCUCUUGAGGGUUAAGUUGAUUCUUUCCUAACGGCUGGCACUGAUGUGCCUGUCUUGGGUGCAGCAGGGAUGGAUCAUUUAGGGUGGAAGUGGCUAGAUGUGAGUGCUAAACCCACCUCACCAGAGAAGGGUCAGACUGGAAUCUCCCACCUGCUAGAAGGGUGCUCAGUACUCCAGUGGUAGCAACAUGUCCUUCAAACAGCUGCAUGAUCAGCUGUGAAUGGUGCGCUGAGCCACCGUCAUGCGGACGGAUAAGCAGAUAGCCGGUUUCUGUUUUGGAGAGGAAGUUUGAGAAAUUGCGGGCCUGCCACCUUCCUCCCUUGGUGGCAGUACCCGUUUCUGGUGUGAGGCCCCAUCACUGCAGCAAGAAGCAGCAAGCUGCCCUGCGUUGGGGAAAUGAGGCGCUCAGCUCCUGCUGGCUUGCUCAGCGCUCCUUUUGAGAUAGUUGCACUUUGGAGCCGAUUCAGGACUCUGGAGGAGGCCUCCUCAGCCACCGAGAAGUGUCUCAGGUCUGCAGCCUGAGGAUUUGAGUGUCCCCUGGAUGCUCACCUCUCGUCCAAGGACUGCUCCCACAUGGUAGAUAGGUGGUGAAACUCAGGUCUCCCACAUUACAGCGUUUUCCUAAACUGGCUCAUUCAGCUGAGCUCACUGGGACCCUGCUCACCCAAAGCAACCUCCGCCAAAUGCAGCUCCAUCCGCCCAUCAGCAAAACUACCUCAGCGGACUCAAACUAACAUGUACAGUGCUAACUUACACGAGGCACCUUUGGGGGUGUUAUGCCUGUGUGGACUUCCUUGUCCAACUACCGUUGCGAAGGUAAGGAAGGGAGGGAGUCCAAUCCCCAGCACAAAUGAUGUUAAAUUCAUCCUCAGAAGACUGGCCACCAGUGUCCCGGUUCUGCAAUGAAGUCCACCCAGACAGGAGACCGCCUACUGCCAUCAGGAGGGGAAAACAAAACCACCACCCUACCCUAAACAACUCUAACUUGCCAUAUGCACGUAUUUUUAUAAACUGAUAAGAAAUAAAGCUGCUAAAAAAAAUGAUUUAAAUUGGAUGCCUUUCUCCUCAGAAUGUUUUGGCAAAAAAAGAUUCAAAUUGCUUCAGACUGUAAUGGAAAUGACAUAAAUGGAAAUGGUUCCCCGACAGGACAGAUCCAAAGUAUUCUGCUGUCUUUACUCAAAUUGAAUAGUACCUCGGUGUAAUAAUGUUCUUACUGAGAUCAAUGAGGUUGUUUAAAUAAAUGAAGUGUGGAAGGAAGUAAAAGAAGACAGACUGCAUUCAAAUCAAAAGGCGAAAACUCAAGCCCCCUGCAGCCCAAAGGAAAGGAGAAGUCCAUUAAGUUGUGAUGAAAUAAAUGAUGGAAAAGGUCUGUCAAAUCCAUUUUAAAGUUUAUUGCAACAUAAAACUUAGUUAAGGGCCAGAAAACAAACUGAAUAAGCCAAAGAAAUGCUAAUGUAACAGAAGAGAAUAGGUCUUCUAACAUGCUGUUUUGUACAUAAUUUGGUGCAUUUGCAGGUCUUUCUGGUUGGAAGCUUGAUUGAUAAUUCCUUCUUCCAGUGUAGAAAUAAAUCGUUUGGUGCUAGUCUACUGUAAUGUCUUUGGAGGUGGCUGUUCUUUGUGCCAGCCCCUCAGGAGAAAAGGAAACAUUUAGAUAUACCCUGUAAGGGAUUAAUGAGAUUUUGACCAUAUAUAUGUGU